rnacentral:rRNA from 1 species
ACGUAGGGUGCGAGCGUUAAUCGGAAUUACUGGGCGUAAAGCGUGCGCAGGCGGUUUUGUAAGACAGUGGUGAAAUCCCCGGGCUCAACCUGGGAACUGCCAUUGUGACUGCAAGGCUGGAGUGCGGAAGAGGGGGAUGGAAUUCCGGGUGUGGCAGUGAAAGCCGUAGAUAUUAGGAGGAACACCGGUGGCGAAGGCAGCCACCUGGGCCUGCUCCGAUGGUGAGGCACGAAAGCGGGGGGAGCAAACAG